rnacentral:rRNA from 1 species
UACGUAGGGUGCGAGCGUUGUCCGGAAUUACUGGGCGUAAAGAGCUCGUAGGUGGUUUGUCGCGUUGUUCGUGAAAACUCACAGCUCAACUGUGGGCGUGCGGGCGAUACGGGCAGACUGGAGUACUGCAGGGGAGACUGGAAUUCCUGGUGUAGCGGUGGAAUGCGCAGAUAUCAGGAGGAACACCGGUGGCGAAGGCGGGUCUCUGGGCCGAUACUGACGCUGAGGCACGAAAGCGUGGGGAGCAAACAGG